rfam:Triticum aestivum genome assembly, contig: Triticum_aestivum_CS42_TGACv1_scaffold_196531_3AL
AUGCCUUUCUCGGGCCUUUUGGCUAAGAUCAAGUAUAGUAUCUGUUAUUAUCAGUUUAAUAUCUGAUAUGUGGGGUACACCCGCACAAUGAUAUUAAAUUUAUUUUUAUGUGAAAGGGUUCACCACAGUGGCUUGCCACUGGGUCCCUCAGCUGUCAGCCGUGUCUUGCACUAUAGCACGGGCUGGCGCACCCCAA